rnacentral:sRNA from 1 species
ACACGAGGAAGGAGGUGGUUCGAAGAAUGGAUAGUUCUAGGACACGUGAGGUGGCUGUCCGCUAGCGCCACCGCUGCAGGUGGUAUCCGCCCGCGCGAGCGCUGAGCGAAUACCAGGCAGUCACCCGGCCCCCGAGCCCCCGGUCCUGUCCGACCGGGACCCGUGCAGGCACCCGCCGCACCGGUACGGCUCGGGGGCCGUUCCCU